rnacentral:lncRNA from 1 species
CUUGGUGUUGUUAACAUUUAGGACACAAUUUGGGAUUGGGAAGUAAACAAGCUGGGCUUCUGAGCACUCCUGUUGGCUUUCACAUAACCUUUUCACCCAAACGGUGAUCUUCCUAGGCCUUCCUUCAUUCAGACACUUGUUGCUUUAUCUAUGCUUAUUAAGGGGCAUAUAUUAUCGGGUAAUAAUUAAAGAAAAUUAGAAUUAGCUUAUUAGAAGGAGAAUUGAGAAAAGGAGGAUUUGUUAGAUGCAGACAAAUGACAUCAGAAAUGAUAGCUGGUAGUCUGAUAUUUUGGGAAAAUAUAAACCUGAAAAAUUCAUAACUGCAUUUCUCUUGGUAAAUAUAGUCUCUGGAGCACCUACUAUGUGUCAGGUGCUUUUCCAUAAUCAUCUAACUUCAUUCCAUGAUUUAGGCAUCAAUAUUCCCAUUCUAUAGAUGAGCAAAUUCAAGCUGAGAUGUAAAUUGACAAAACCAUCACAGCUAGUAAGUGGCAGUUCCAGAAUUUUCCCAUGGUCUGUCUGACUCCUACGUCAUGAUGUCAUUCUGUUUUACCAUGCCACCUCCUUGUGCUGCAGUGGGUAUCCAUGAGCUUGUGUCUUCCAAGAAAAAAUUAAGUUCUAUGGCUUCAACUUAAGGAAGUAAAAAAGCAACGUGUCUUCAAAGAAUUACCUUGAAAUUAAAAGAUGGAUUUUUUGGUGUCAGGACAUGAACACUUAAGCUAUUUGGAAAACUAGUUAUGUGGAACACCUGAUUCCACAAUGAGGCAAGAUAAAUUCUUUCAACAUAAUCCUGACAUCACAGUUUUAGGAAACUUGACUCCUGGAUUAGAUUUUUCUCAAAUUAAAAAAUUUCCCCAUGAGAUAUAUGUAUUCAUUCAUUCACUCGCUUCAUUUAACAAACGUUGAGUGACUAUUAUGUACACAGAAACACUAUCAUGGCUCUUGAGAAUUCUACCAAAUCAAGAAAUCAAACAAAACAGAAUACAAAAAAAAAAUUAAAAGCUUAAUUUCUGUAUAAUUUGGGCAAAUGCUGCAAUAGCUCUCCUCUUCCUUCAUCUCAUCCUGCUGGUUGCUCCCAGAGCUAUUUUUUUCUAAAACCCUCAUCUGAUGGUGUCACUUCCUGGUUGCAAACCUCUGACUACUGUUGCCUAUUAAGUAACUCUUGGCCCUUCAGAACCUGCCGUCACCUGCCUUUUCUGUCUCCUCUGGAGCUGCCCUCCACCAGAGCUCAGCUAUCCUGAACUGCUCACUCCUCCCCAAAGAUGCCAGGCACUUGCCAUCUCCAAGCCUGUCCUCUUGCUGCUUCCUCCCGGGCGUGUCCUGGGCGUGUCCUGCCCUUUCUCAUUCACCGAGUGAGUCUCUAGUCAUCGUUCAGGAUCCUACUGAAAUGGUGUUCCUCCUCUGCUGCUUUUCCUGACGACCUGCUCCAACCUAGCAGAAAAGAAAAAGAAAGUUCAUCUUCCCAGAGCACUUCAUGUUACAGCAUUUGAUAUAGUAAUAAUGUAAUAUAAAAUUAUUUUCAUCUUUUUCUGACUAGAGUACAAAUCCUUCCAGAAUACAACUGUAUUUUGUUUGUCUUUGUACCUUAGUCCAGGACACUGGCACAUACUUGGCUAUCUAGAAAGGCUGGGUGAAGAGAAUAGAAUAGAAGCGGGGGAGUAGGUAAGUGCUAUGGUAAGAGGGACUAAUUUUUCAGAAAUGGUUGGCGGAGGCUUCCCAGCGGGUUGUCUGUAUGUCAGCCCUGAAGAAUGAGUAGAAUUCAGCAGACAAUAAUGAGCGGGUCUCGGAGGUGAGGAGAGGGUUUCACAGCAGAGAGGGCUGUGUGUCUGAAGACUUGAGAAGGAGUAGCCUGGUUGGACAUUGCAAAUAAACUAGUGUCUUUAGAGUUUAGCAUACGUAAGAAUGGAGCAGAGCAGGCUCAGAGCGUGGGAUGGCUUCGUAUUGUGAUGAGCCUGCAGGUGUGGGGAUUUCAUUCUCCGGUGCAGAUCUUUGGGGAGCCACUGGACUUGUGGCAGUCACACAGGUUGCUGUGGUUGUGUGGGCGAUGAAUGGACUCAGAGAGGCUUAUUGGGAGAUGCUGGCACAGUUGGAAGGAGAGACAAAGGCCUGUCUAAGGCGGGCUGCGGAGAUGCUCACCUGUUCCUGUGACCUCUGGGGCUAUACCGGAAGUGUCCAGCUUAGCCUGCUUCUUACGAUGGAGAAGAAGAACCCAGCAGAACUGCUGAAGAUGAGAACUGAGGAGUGAUCAGAAGGGACUUACCAGUUGGGCUUCUUCCAGAGCUGAAAACCGAUUACAAAUAGGAAACAGAUUUCACUACUGGACUUGAACUCCACAUAAAAAACAACAAGAUCCUCAAAAUAAUUGAAAAAGAUCCUCACCAAAGCGUAGAUGCAAUGAAUGGCAGGAUCUCAAGAGUUCCAGCUUUUAUUAUGUGUCAUUCAUUUUGGAAAAAUUGGAAGCAGUUAAGACCCUGCCCCCUGCCAUGAUGACAGUUAGAGUUCUUGCUGCCUUGAUGAGUUCCCAAGACCACUGAUCUUGAGAUUUUUCUUCCUUGAGAAGAACGCCUCCACCCCCUGGCUCUCCCACCAGCAGGACUGCUGCCACCACGCACCAGCAUAAAGCACAGAUUGCUGCCCAGCUCCUUGGAGAGGAGCCAGUGCAUUUGUCAGGAAUUGAAAAGUUUUGGAGCCAGUUCGAGGACUUUCUGGUACACAAAGUGUUGGCUGGAAAUGUGAGGAUGGCAGCUUCUUUAUUAAAUCUCUCGGUGCAACUGUAUGCCUGCGAUCCAUAUGUACCUCCCGUAUUGAAAUUCCUUCACAUUUCCAGCCAUUACACCUAAUGUUUGUCGGAUCUGUAUUCUGACUCUAAAAUCUAUGAUUUCGUGAUUCCUGGCCAGUUCAUUCUUCCAAGGAUGCUUAUAUACAGCAGCUUAAUAACCAUCACAAAGUCUUCAGCCACGCUACUAUGUCUUUGAGCAUUAACCUCAUGGACUUGGUGUUUUCCACAAUUUCAUUUAGAAGACUUAAAAUAAAAGCUAUCUGGAAGAACAGCAUUAAAGGCAGCUGUGUGGGACUCGGAGUAUUGGCAAAGACUGUAAAGUGGAAAAUAAACAGUGUGUCUAUCACCAAGCUACAAGAACACAGCACUCAGAGCAGUGAAAUGACAGUCAGUGGCAAGCAACUAAUUGGUCACCAGCUUUGGAGGAAAUAUAUUCUUCCAGACCUCUGUCAUUUACCAUGUUCUUUAGUGAAAAAAACGCCAGGUUGAAGUGUUGGCUGUAACCCCCAAAAGAAAGAAAAUGAAGAGAGCUCUGGAAUCCUGCUCCAUAUGGAAAUAUCAGAAUUUGUUGAUUGUGGACAAUAAACAGAAUCGUCUGGCUUUGUGCUUUUAUCCUGGUGGUGGCCCUCAAGAAUAAGGAUGCGCCCUGUUUCAUCUCAAUGCAUUUUCAUCUUUAAGAACAUGUAGUGAGUGCUGAGCACGUGGCAAGCAUUAAACACAUCUAAAUGGAGAGGCAUCUUUGUGAUAAAUAGGACCCCAGGAGCUGAUUUCCAUUGGAAGAUGAUGGGUUGGGGCCCAGAACAGAUAACACAAUAAGAGAAGAGCCCAAGAAUUUGAGAGGUUUGGAACAUGAUGCUGGAGGAAUAGCACUCCUAGAAGAAAUGAAGAUACUUGCUUAUCCUUGGUUCACCUGAGUGUGAAGCAUCCAGUGAAAGUGACAAGAGAAGAUGGUGUUUGUAAAGUCUACACAUGCAGUGGUGUCCUCACCUUUAUAAAACAGAUGCCAUUGUCAAUGAUUUUCUAGCACUCUUUUCACUAUACAUACAGCUUGAUGUACUUGAGCAGAUCUUUUACCUAAUUUUUUAACCCUCUAAGAUGCUAAGACAGAGCUGAACCUAUGGUGCAAGCAGAAUGAAUGGAAGGGAAUAAGUGCAAAGAGAAGCAUUUUAUUUAACUUGGGAAGAUAAACAGAUAGGUCUUACUUAAAUUAGUGCAGAGGUAUAGAACUAUUGGCUCGAUCAUUCUUUAUGUGAUUGUCUCUUGCAAGUUUUAGUAAAAUAUUCUGAUUUGGGGGAAAUUUGUUUCCUUGCUAAUAUAAGAUAAAAGAGGAAAAAUUUAAAAUAUUUGCAGCUCUUUCUCUAAAAUUUCAGGCUAAUUUUUCCUCUCUUGUCUUGAUAUUUCUUUCUAUGUGAAUCAUUCUUGUAUAUUUCUUCCACUGCAUUUUUCAUGAAGAAAACAAGGAUUAUCAAAGUUAAGCAGACAAGUUCAAGGCAGAGCUUCAAGCUUCUCCAAGAAAUGGUUCCAGACUUGUUUACAUGUAAUGCUCUUGCAAGCAAGACACAUGUCUGUUUUAUCUUUGUUGGUAUCUGGCACAUAUUAGGGAAACAGUAAAUUCUCUGUCUCAAUUAAUGAGCAUAGAAAAAUGAAUGAAGAAGUAGAUGAUUUUGUAAGACUCUCAAAGAAAAUUUAUAGAAUAUUUUGGAAAUGGGCUCACUUUAUUUCCAAAGGAAAUUUUACUUUCAAAUUAAAAAAAAAAUUCACCCAAAUGAGAUUUUGGGGGAUUUCAUGUGAUUAACUCUUUACAUGAUCUUGUAGUAAUUAUGCAGAAAUUUCUAUUUAUGUAAACAC